ACUGCAAUGAUAAGCUUCUAACACGUAAGAAGAUCCUUUCAACUAAUCGGCCCUCGAAUGAAAUAUACUUCAUACCUGGCUUCUGAGCUUU